CCUGAUGCAGCCAUGCCGCGUGUGUGAAGAAGGCCUUCGGGUUGUAAAGCACUUUCAGUUGUGAGGAAAAGUUAGUAGUUAAUACCUGCUAGCCGUGACGUUAACAACAGAAGAAGCACCGGCUAACUCCGUGCCAGCAGCCGCGGUAAUACGGAGGGUGCGAGCGUUAAUCGGAAUUACUGGGCGUAAAGCGCACGCAGGCGGUUUGUUAAGCUAGAUGUGAAAGCCCCGGGCUCAACCUGGGAUGGUCAUUUAGAACUGGCAGACUAGAGUCUUGGAGAGGGGAGUGGAAUUCCAGGUGUAGCGGUGAAAUGCGUAGAUAUCUGGAGGAACAUCAGUGGCGAAGGCGACUCCCUGGCCAAAGACUGACGCUCAUGUGCGAAAGUGUGGGUAGCGAACAGGAUUAGAUACCCUGGUAGUCCACACCGUAAACGCUGUCUACUAGCUGUGUGUGCCUUUAAGGCGUGCGUAGCGAAGCUAACGCGCUAAGUAGACCGCCUGG
rnacentral:rRNA from 3 species